GCCGCGAAUUCACUAGUGAUUGAGUUUGAUCAUGGCUCAGGAUGAACGCUAGCGGCAGGCCUAACACAUGCAAGUCGAGGGGUAGAACACUUCGGUGUUUGAGACCGGCGCACGGGUGCGUAACGCGUAUGCAAUCUACCUUGUACAGGGGAAUAGCCCAGAGAAAUUUGGAUUAAUGCCCCAUAGUAUAUAACCUUCGCAUGUUGGUUAUAUUAAAGUUCCAACGGUACAAGAUGAGCAUGCGUCCCAUUAGUUAGUUGGUAAGGUAACGGCUUACCAAGACGAUGAUGGGUAGGGGUCCUGAGAGGGAGAUCCCCCACACUGGUACUGAGACACGGACCAGACUCCUACGGGAGGCAGCAGUGAGGAAUAUUGGUCAAUGGUCGCAAGACUGAACCAGCCAUGCCGCGUGCAGGAAGACGGUCCUAUGGAUUGUAAACUGCUUUUAUACAGGAAGAAACCCUCCCACGUGUGGGAGCUUGACGGUACUGUAGGAAUAAGGAUCGGCUAACUCCGUGCCAGCAGCCGCGGUAAUACGGAGGAUCCAAGCGUUAUCCGGAAUCAUUGGGUUUAAAGGGUCCGUAGGCGGUCUUAUAAGUCAGUGGUGAAAGCCCAUCGCUCAACGAUGGAACUGCCAUUG
rnacentral:rRNA from 1 species